rnacentral:tRNA from 1 species
GCCCCUGUCGUCUAGCCUGGUCUAGGACAUCGCCCUUUCAAGGCGGCAACACGGGUUCGAAUCCCGUCGGGGGCG